GCCGGGAUAGCUCAGUCGGCAGAGCGGCUCACUCGUAAUGAGCAGGUCAGGGGUUCGAUUCCCCUUCCCGGCUCCA
rnacentral:tRNA from 1 species